GACGAACGCUGGCGGCGUGCCUAAUACAUGCAAGUCGAGCGGGCCUCCGGAGGUGCUUGCACCUCCGGAAGGCCAGCGGCGGACGGGUGAGUAACACGUGGGCAACCUGCCUUUGAGGCCGGGAUAACACCGGGAAACCGGUGCUAAUACCGGAUGCGUCCUCUUUCGUGCCUGCGAGAGGGGAGAAAGACGGUCUUCGGGCCGUCCCCCAACGAGGGGCCCGCGGCGCAUUAGCUGGUUGGUGGGGUAAGGGCCUACCAAGGCGACGAUGCGUUGCCGACCUGAGAGGGUGAUCGGCCACACUGGGACUGAGACACGGCCCAGACUCCUGCGGGAGGCAGCAGUAGGGAAUCAUCCGCAAUGGGCGAAAGCCUGACGGUGCAACGCCGCGUGAGUGAGGAAGGUUUUCGGAUCGUAAAGCUCUGUUGUGAGGGAAGAACAGCUUCCGGAGGAAAUGCCGGAGGUUUGCCGGUACCUCACCAGAAAGCCCCGGCUAACUACGUGCCAGCAGCCGCCGUAA
rnacentral:rRNA from 1 species